rnacentral:tRNA from 1 species
AAUAAGAUGCCUGAAUAAAGGGCUAUUUUGAUAGAAUAGAUUAUAUAUAUUACAUAUUCUUAUUA